UACGAAGGGGACUAGCGUUGUUCGGAAUCACUGGGCGUAAAGCGCACGUAGGCGGAUGUGUCAGUCAGGGGUGAAAUCCCGGGGCUCAACCUCGGAACUGCCUUUGAUACAGCACGUCUCGAGUCCGGAAGAGGUGGGUGGAAUUCCUAGUGUAGAGGUGAAAUUCGUAGAUAUUAGGAAGAACACCGGUGGCGAAGGCGGCCCACUGGUCCGGUACUGACGCUGAGGUGCGAAAGCUAGGGGAGCAAACAGG
rnacentral:rRNA from 1 species